UACGGGGGGAGCAAGCGUUGUUCGGAAUCACUGGGCGUAAAGGGAGUCUAGGCGGUUUGGUAAGUGGGAUGUGAAAUCCCCGGGCUCACCCCGGGACCUGCAUCCCAAACUGCUGAGCUUGAGUACGGGAGAGGAUGUGGGAAUUCCUGGUGUAGCGGUGAAAUGCGUAGAUAUCAGGAGGAACACCGGUGGCGAAGGCGCACAUCUGGCCCGAUACUGACGCUGAGGCGCGAAAGCUAGGGGAGCAAACGGG
rnacentral:rRNA from 1 species